UUUCUCUAGGCAGGCUGGAGUUUAUAGAUUUCUAGAAUUUUAAGUGCUUGGAAUUCACUUAGGAGAGGGAUGUUUUAAUAGAGGUUUCUGGCUCACUGGUUUUUUGGGAUGGUGGGAUACUCUUCUGUUUUUGAGCUAUAUUUUAAUCUCUAAAUGUAUAAACCAGCAGUAGGUAAACAUUAGGAGGAACCGGUCAAAGGUAACAGCGCUUUCUGGAACCGUCAAGUUCUUGUUCGGCAACGUAGUGACUGGUUUGAUCUACUUCACAGAUGGAGAGGCAAGUGGACUGCUCUCUUUGAAAUAAUAAAAUUGAAAACAUAAAGUUUGUCAAAGAUGGCAGUGCAUGUUUGCAGUCUGUUUAUUGCUUUUGCCAGUGGUAGAUAACAUUUAUAAGGAAUCGGUGAAAGGAAAGAGCGCCUUCUGGAACUGUGAAGCUCUGUGUUGGCAACUCGGUGACUGGCUGGACCUACUGUCCAUCUCCAGAGGGAAGCGGACUGCUAUUUUGAAAUUAAAAAAUACUAAUAAAAAAAAAAUAUAUAUGGUGCUGCUCUAUGGCGCCCGGAGGACUGCCACUCUGCAUGGCAGUUAAAAAGAAUGUGGUUUGGAGAUGGAGAGCCACAGAGAUGAAGCAGCUGGGAAGAGAGACACAAGUAUUGCAGUAGGUAGGCUGUGGUUAUGAGGUGCCUCAGGAUGUGCUUUUUUUCUUGUUUCCGCCCUUCCCUCGUGCAGCCUUGGAGAGAUGAAGUCCCCAUGGUGUGGAGUGGUGCAAAAAGUCUCUGACAUCCAGCCAAGAUGGACAAAGGAGAAGGACAAGGGAAAAGCCUGGGAGGAAGACUAUGAGCCUUCAGUACGAGAGACCCGCAGAGGUUCCACCAGAGACUGAUAACACAUGCGCCAGUGGGCGGGUUCGGAUUCCAGGAACUAGUUAUAAUAACCCUGCCUUUUCUAGAAGUAGUAAUGAAUAUGUAUUAGCCCAGGAGCAUAAAACCCAGCCGCCUGCUGUGACUUGUGUGCGUCUCGGUGGAGCAGAGACUCCCGGCGCACCCAGUGCUGUUUGCUUACCUCUAUUCAUUUAAUAAAUUGUAAACUUUGAUUGUAAUCCUA